CAGCAGUGGGGAAGACAACGCUCCGCCCUUGACGGUACCUCCUUAGCAAGCACCGGCUAACUCUGUGCCAGCAGCCGCGGUAAGACAGAGGGUGCGAACGUUGCUCGGAAUUACUGGGCGUAAAGCGCGUGUAGGCGGGUGAUCAAGUCAGGUGUGAAAUCCCUGGGCUCAACCCAGGAACUGCAUUUGAAACUGGUCGCCUUGAGUGUUGGAGAGGGAAGCGGAAUUCCUGGUGUAGAGGUGAAAUUCGUAGAUAUCAGGAGGAACACCGGUGGCGAAGGCGGCUUCCUGGACAACUACUGACGCUGAGACGCGAAAGCGUGGGGAGCAAACAGGAUUAGA
rnacentral:rRNA from 1 species